UACGGAGGAUCCGAGCGUUAUCCGGAUUUAUUGGGUUUAAAGGGUGCGUAGGCGGCCUAUUAAGUCAGGGGUGAAAGACGGUAGCUUAACUAUCGCAGUGCCUUUGAUACUGAUGGGCUUGAAUGUACUUGAGGUAGGCGGAAUGUGACAAGUAGCGGUGAAAUGCAUAGAUAUGUCACAGAACACCAAUUGCGAAGGCAGCUUACUAAAGUAUGAUUGACGCUGAGGCACGAAAGCGUGGGGAUCAAACGGG
rnacentral:rRNA from 1 species